rnacentral:rRNA from 1 species
UGGGGAAUCUUGCGCAAUGGGCGAAAGCCUGACGCAGCAACGCCGCGUGGGGGAAGAAGGCUCUCGGGUUGUAAACCCCUUUCAGCAGGAACGAAAAUGACGGUACCUGCAGAAGAAGGUGCGGCCAACUACGUGCCAGCAGCCGCGGUGACACGUAGGCACCAAGCGUUGUCCGGAUUUAUUGGGCGUAAAGAGCUCGUAGGCGGUUCAGUAAGUCGGGUGUGAAAACUUCGGGCUUAACCCGAAGCCUGCAUCCGAUACUGCUGUGACUUGAGUCCGGUAGGGGAGUGGGGAAUUCCUGGUGUAGCGGUGAAAUGCGCAGAUAUCAGGAGGAACACCGGUGGCGAAGGCGCCACUCUGGGCCGGUACUGACGCUGAGGAGCGAAAGCGUGGGUAGCAAACA